rnacentral:rRNA from 1 species
CCUGAUGGAGGGGGAUAACUACUGGAAACGGUGGCUAAUACCGCAUAACGUCGCAAGACCAAAGAGGGGGACCUUCGGGCCUCUUGCCAUCAGAUGUGCCCAGAUGGGAUUAGCUUGUUGGUGAGGUAACGGCUCACCAAGGCGACGAUCCCUAGCUGGUCUGAGAGGAUGACCAGCCACACUGGAACUGAGACACGGUCCAGACUCCUACGGGAGGCAGCAGUGGGGAAUAUUGCACAAUGGGCGCAAGCCUGAUGCAGCCAUGCCGCGUGUAUGAAGAAGGCCUUCGGGUUGUAAAGUACUUUCAGCGGGGAGGAAGGUGUUGUGGUUAAUAACCGCAGCAAUUGACGUUACCCGCAGAAGAAGCACCGGCUAACUCCGUGCCAGCAGCCGCGGUAAUACGGAGGGUGCAAGCGUUAAUCGGAAUUACUGGGCGUAAAGCGCACGCAGGCGGUCUGUCAAGUCGGAUGUGAAAUCCCCGGGCUCAACCUGGGAACUGCAUUCGAAACUGGCAGGCUUGAGUCUUGUAGAGGGGGGUAGAAUUCCAGGUGUAGCGGUGAAAUGCGUAGAGAUCUGGAGGAAUACCGGUGGCGAAGGCGGCCCCCUGGACAAAGACUGACGCUCAGGUGCGAAAGCGUGGGGAGCAAACAGGAUUAGAUACCCUGGUAGUCCACGCCGUAAACGAUGUCUACUUGGAGGUUGUGCCCUUGAGGCGUGGCUUCCGGAGCUAACGCGUUAAGUAGACCGCCUGGGGAGUACGGCCGCAAGGUUAAAACUCAAAUGAAUUGACGGGGGCCCGCACAAGCGGUGGAGCAUGUGGUUUAAUUCGAUGCAACGCGAAGAACCUUACCUGGUCUUGACAUCCACAGAACUUUCCAGAGAUGGAUUGGUGCCUUCGGGAACUGUGAGACAGGUGCUGCAUGGCUGUCGUCAGCUCGUGUUGUGAAAUGUUGGGUUAAGUCCCGCAACGAGCGCAAC